rnacentral:rRNA from 1 species
UCAUUUAAAGAAAGCGUAAUAGCUCACUGGUCGAGUCGGCCUGCGCGGAAGAUGUAACGGGGCUAAACCAUGCACCGAAGCUGCGGCAGCGACACUAUGUGUUGUUGGGUAGGGGAGCGUUCUGUAAGCCUGUGAAGGUGGCCUGUGAGGGUUGCUGGAGGUAUCAGAAGUGCGAAUGCUGACAUAAGUAACGAUAAAGCGGGUGAAAAGCCCGCUCGCCGGAAGACCAAGGGUUCCUGUCCAACGUUAAUCGGGGCAGGGUGAGUCGACCCCUAAGGCGAGGCCGAAAGGCGUAGUCGAUGGGAAACAGGUUAAUAUUCCUGUACUUGGUGUUACUGCGAAGGGGGGACGGAGAAGGCUAUGUUGGCCGGGCGACGGUUGUCCCGGUUUAAGCGUGUAGGCUGGUUUUCCAGGCAAAUCCGGAAAACCAAGGCUGAGGCGUGAUGAUGAGGCACUACGGUGCUGAAGCGACAAAUGCCCUGCUUCCAGGAAAAGCCUCUAAGCAUCAGGUAACAUCAAAUCGUACCCCAAACCGACACAGGUGGUCAGGUAGAGAAUACCAAGGCGCUUGAGAGAACUCGGGUGAAGGAACUAGGCAAAAUGGU